CUAAUCAAAGAAUUCCCAUGGCAAGAACACCAAAAAAUCCCCAAUUCUAAUUCAAUCCCACUAUCAAUUAAGCCAAAAAAGAGCAAACAAACAACACUGUAAAUAAAAAUCCUCAUUUCAUUCUCUUCAUCCCAGCUUUUUCUCAUCAAACAAGUAGACAAGAGAAAAUUCCACGAGAAGAAUGAAGGAAGAUGAAUUGAGCGGGUGAAAGAGGAAAUUGAAAGAAACAAAUAAAUCUGAG
rnacentral:misc_RNA from 1 species